GGCACAAAAUUCUUCCACGCGAACGCCAUAAUUAAACUCAAGCAGAACACUAUUGCAACUAUGUAGGAUGGUCUGGGUUGCUAAUUAUUGAUCAUGACAAGCGAAGUUGUUAUAUGAAGCCUACAAAGAGACACUUGGUAUGACAGAACAUAAGAAGAUGAUUUUUGAUCUGCAUGACCUUAUGGAUGCCCCCAUAGACCUAACUCAUCUAGAGUCCCCUUUCAUAGCGGAUGAGUUUACUUCUGUGGUAGCAAAUCUCCCCUCGGUAAAGCACCUGACCCGGAUGGAUUUUACACAAACUUCAUGAAAAGGUGUUGGCCAAUAAUCUCUAAAGACUUUUUAUCUAUUUCGUGGUUUCCAUGAUGAAAACAUUUGCAUGGAGUAUAAACGGAUCUCAUGUCAUAUUGCUCCCAAAACAGGUCGUCCCUAUCACAGUUAGCGACUAUUGCCACAUUUCCCUGUUAAACACAAGUGUCAAGAUACUAACCUAAUUGAUAGCAAACAUGCUACAAAAAGUGAUCACAAGACUAAUCCACAACAACCGAUAUGAUUUUAUAAAGGAACGUACCAUACAAGAUUGUCUUCAUGGUUCUUUGAAUACCUGCAUCUAUGCAAACAGUUAAAAAACAAAUGGUGAUCCUCAAGUUGGAUUUUGAGAAAGCAUUUGACAAACUAGAGCACAAUGUUAUUACUGACAUCUUGAGGCACAAGGGUUUCGGUCCCAAGUGGUUGAAAUGGACUACAAUGAUCAUGGAAUCAGAAACUUCCUCUGUUCUACUGAAUGGGGUACCGAAUAAAUCUUUCCACUUCAAGGGAGGAGUUCGUCAGGGCGACCCCUCUCUCCCCUCCUCUUUGUGAUGGCUACAAACCGUCUCCAGGUUAUUGUGAACUAUCACACCCUAAUUUAAGGACAAAUCUAGAUGCAUCACAUAUGUGCACCAGAAACAAGAUCCAUACAUACAAUGACUCAGUGUAUAGAGACGAAUGUCAUAACUUUAUUACUUAACGAUAAAGUCUUACAAAAUAACUGAUAAUAAAAUAAAUCGAGCUAAGAUAAAUUAUCUCCACAACACCAUAGUUGACUAGGAGACGACGCAUAGAUCUCGUUGAACUUGUUGUAGUAGUCCUCCUCUUGUGGUACCUGCUCUUCACUUAGUGUGAUUGUAGCAAGGGUGACCUCUCAUGCGGUCAUCGUUCAACAAGUGUGGGAAAAUGUGUUAUGAGCUCACUUACGGUCGAGGCUCAUGUGCAGUGUAAGGCUUACCAAGCAAAAUGGUUAAGGCUGAGCACAACUUUUAAUUUUGUUGGUCAAAAUUUUAUUAGCAAUUACAAGGUAUAAGUAGAUACCAUCCCAAUUAAAUAAUAGAUCAUAAUGAAUAAUAAAUCCCACAAUGUAAUGCAUGACAAGUUAAGUUUAAUUCUCUAAAUUAUUCAUGUGAGUGUCCGAGCCCUCUUGACCGUGAGCAUGACAGAUAUACCAGUUUUACACUCUGCAGAGGUUGCACAUCUUUACCCACCAGUCAUGUUGCCUUUUCACCUGGGGUUGUAUGAACCCUUAAACACUUUCAAGGUGAGUUGGCGAGGGUACACUACGAGGCCUUUACAAAGUUCCACUAGUUUGAGAAAACUCACAACAAUUUUAGUGAGAAGUGGGCGAUAUAGGAAUCACUCGUCUGAAAAGCCAUUGCAGCAUGAUCGACCCAAGAAACUCCCUAUAUCGGCAGCUUCUCAUUCCACGGUUGUCCCUUUCGGAUAAGGUAGUCUCUCACUAGCUUUCCUAAUUAAUUAGCCAAGGGCAUCCAUUCCACCCUUGGGGUAGCACUGUUUUCUCGGUUGGUUCUCCAUGUUUUAGUUAACAGAAUAAUCUUAUCAUGACAAUAAAUAAUUCAACAAUAAUGGUAAGCAUGAUCAUAAUUCAAAUAUUAAUCCCCAAACUAGGUAGAGCAAAGCAAUAAUACUGAAUAAUUUAUUUGUAUGCAAGGUGUAUAGUAAACAAACUAGGUAACCUAUUAGAUCCCAUUAGUUAAGCCUAAUAGUGCCAUGGGAUUAUCAGAAUCAUGAACAUUAUUAGGUCAAAGAAUGUGAUCAAGCAUACACUUGCCUUCUAUGAGCUCCUGCUCAGAGUCUUCAACUUGUGGUGCUUCGGGGUUUCCCGGUCACUUGCUCCUCUACCCGCGCCAAUACAAACAAACAACAUGCGAACAAAAAUUAACAUCACACCAAACAGGGAAACAAACAAUAUAAUAAUAUUCUAUGCAUCGAGACAAAACUCUAGGUUCGAGAACCACUAAAAUCGGAGUUAAAAAGUACAUGUUAUGGAUUAUCUAAGUUUUAUAAGUAUUUUAUUAUUGAUUUUAUACCCAAAAUAAAUUAUAAGGAAUUAUCUACAAAUAACAGGAACCUCAAUGAAAUUCUCCUUAACUGCGAUGGGACGAUGGGUUGGUUUCCUAAAGUGCAGAGGUUCUUUUAGCAAAGUUGCGUCGGUCGAAAGGGUACCAUGUUAUUUCAACCGUCGGAUCAUCCACUAACGUUCAUGAUUAUAUCAAUCAUCCCUUGAACCGGUAUGCUUUAACAGAUGUCGGAUGCAACUCACAUGGCCCAAAACUUAAAUAACUGGGAUCGACCCAGACCCGUCCGAUCACAAUCGAACGCUCCCCGAUCACUAUAGCCGAAGCACUACGUGCAUUUAAAUCAUCACCAUUUAUCGUCGAUCCAACGGCACCUGGAUACUCCUUUGCCUCCCCGCUCACAGGCCUAACCCCGAAACGACGACGUUGUGUCGCACUGCGGAGGCCAUGGUUGGAAAUCCCAAGCCCUUAAUCCACACUUAAGCUUCGAUCCUAACCUGUUUUCGCGCAGAGAAGGAGAGGGUAAACUAAUGAGACAGAUGCUCACUGGUUGUUGGCGGCGCAGAGAUCCUGCCCACGAAUCCCCACGACGC
rnacentral:lncRNA from 1 species